AAACAAGUGUACUGUAGGCAAGAAUAAUGUUGCAAAAUAUCUCAGAAGGAAAACAAGAGCCCUUAUCAAAAAAUACUAUUCAUUAAUAAUUCCUUUUUAAUGGCUAAAAAGAAUACAAGUGCUUGUCUGUAGAGAGGAAUUGUCUUCAUUAGGAAGGCAAUUUAAUUAGAGCAACUACUUAUGACUUAACAGAAUAUUUUACCAAACAUGCACUACUUAAAAACAUGUUUAUAUGAGUUCUAAAAUAAUAACUAGGAGAAGUUUACUGGAGAAACUGUACAUAGACAAAUCUAUAACUGCAUGUUGCAAAGACUCAUGAAUUUAAAAGUCAGCAAGGCAGGAAUUAACUUCAAGUGCAAGGUCAACUUAUUUGCUAGUUAGAACAGGGUUAUCGGACAAGCUAGAAGUGCUGGGGAUUUUGAUGUGAAACAGGUUAAAAUGGAGAUUUUCACAACUGAUAAAUAAUUAUCAUCAAUUAGCAUUUGGUAAGCAGGUGCCCUUACCAUAUAAAAGGAGGUGGUGGAUAGAUAGUGCUUUUCCUGCUGUGUGGCUUAUAGGAUGGUGAAGAGUUUUUGUUUAGAGAGAAGCCUUCUGAAAUUACAGAGAAAGAUCUGUCUGAUGUACCUGUCUGCUAGCUGGCGUAACCAGACCAGUUUGAGGCUCUGGAGGAGGAACUGGUUGGCGGUCCAGGUGGCCAGUGAUGGGAGACUGCAUGGCACUCUGAGAUUUGCCUCAUGUGGAAGGUGA
rnacentral:lncRNA from 1 species